rnacentral:rRNA from 1 species
AACGAACGCUGGCGGCAUGCCUAACACAUGCAAGUCGAACGAGACCUUCGGGUCUAUUGGCGCACGGGUUCGUAACGCGUUGGAACCUUCCCUUAGGUUCGGACUAACUCCCCGAAAGGGGUGCUAAUACCGGAUAAUGUCUUCUGACCAAUGAUUUAUCGCCUUUGUAUGGGCCCGCGUUGGAUUAGCUAGUUGUUAGGGUAAAAGCCUACCAAGGCGACGAUACAUAGCUGGUCUGAGAGGAUGAUCAGCCACACUGGGACUGAGAAACGGCCCAGACUACGACGGGAGGGAGGAGAGGGGAAUAUUGGAAAAUGGGGGAAAGGCUGAAGAAGCAAUGCCGCGUGAGUGAUGAAGGCGUUAGGGUAGUAAAGCUCGUGUAAACGGGAAGAUAAUGACAGUAACGGGAGAAUAAGCAACGGCUAACUACGUG